CUGGGGCUUUUUCCUUGUGCAGCAGAAGUCUGCGUAUCACAGCUCUGCUCUUGUUGCUCUACUGCUUCAGGCUGCUACCAGCACCAAAGCUGCUCGCUGCACCCAAGGCCACAACCAUGCUCCCAAGCCAUUGCUGCAAGAUGCAGUUUUCCAAAGUGGUUGUGCUUGGAUUGCUACAUUUACAUUGCUUUGACUCCAAUCAGCUCAGCUGGAUACUGCAACGUGUGAACAUGCAACAGGCAACCAUGAAGCUCCUGUAACUUGGCUAAAUCCUGUUUUCUACAUAUGCAAGGGUUGUCUUGACAAACAGCUCUCAAGGCUUAAGAUGCCUCAAGGCUGUCUCUUCUAACAGAGACUAGGGGAAGUGGAGUGAGGGCCACAGAAAACUUUGUGAAGCAGCUACAGAAGAGGGCAGUGUUUGCAGUGCCUGGUGGCUCCAGAGGGAGUUUAACACAAAGUUAGGGCCUGAGCUUCCAAUGCGCAUCUCCACCUCGGUGAUGUUUACCUGAACAAUACAGUUCUGAGAAGACGCCCUCCUGUUUCCUGAGGAGCUGUCAGCAGCUGUAUCACUUUCCAACAGGUAACCUAAUUUGAGUAGUUGUCUUGCUCAGUAUCUGAAUACCCUCUUUCUCCUCCAGCUAGAAGCAAAAUUCUCUGACAAGGAUCAACAGUCUAGAUCCAACACUGUUUAUUGAACUUCUGCUAGUGCAGCAAUCCCUUCAAUUUCUUAGCUGUCAUGCAGACUCUCAGAAGGCAAGGAAAGGUACAUUUCCCUUUUCUUACCAGAUGUCACAGUGGUACCUCACCACUGGGGGUGGUACCCCAUUUUGGUGUCUGGGUGACACAGGCCACAGUGUGAGAUACUCUGUCCUCCACUGGCUCACACUUCUCCUCCUUGGAUUCUUGUAAGAAAGAGCAGAAAAAACAAGUCUUGAGAUUUCCUUCCUCUAGGGGCAUCAGGCUGGCCAUAGCUACUGCAAGCACCCUUGGACAGGUCUGCUCUACCAUGAAGUCUUAACCCACCUACAGCUCAGGAGGCUCAGACUGGGUCUGGUAGAAAUAACUAUCCCCAUCCUGAACUUUUAAGCAGUCCUCUGCUUGGUCCCACAUGCCAGCAAAAAGCAAUAUUUGAGCUAAAUUUUAAUUCAAGUUCUCUUCAACCAUUUGUUUUUUCAAAGCUGUGAGGCAUCAAGCUUUCAUUGUCUCCAGCCAAGAGAGAAUGUGAAAUGGCCCCAACAGGUGCUGGGGAGAAGCAUUUCAGAAUCAGCUCAUAACUCAACAGACACAAAGUAAAUGUAUUCAAUAAAUAUUUUAUUUUGACACAUAGUACACAUUCGUACUUUAAGCAAAUACUAUAGCCAAAGGGAUGCUUACAAAGAGAUUGACACAAAAGAAAUAGCAAAGCAUAAAAUUAUCAUUUUCCUGAACAGAGAGAUUUUUGUACUUGGAAGAAUUUUUAUAUUCUUUAUUGAAUACCAUUCAUGUGCUCUGUACUGCUGAGAAUCCAUAGCCAGCCUUGGGAUAAAUAUUUUCAGAGCCAUUUAAUGAUUUGGAGACUAAGGCCCAUUGACAGUCAGUAGUUAUUAGGUGCUUUUGAUGGUGUUACCUGUCUUCUACAGUCCACGGGGUUCACUAUCUAAACCCUUCAGGUCAUUAAGAGACUUUCCAUUUAGUUCAACGGCUCUACGCCAGUCUUGCAAGGUGCUGUGACCUCUCUAUGAGGAGGUGGGAACCUUUCUGGAACAAGAGAUUGGUUUGGACUAGGAGAGAGAGUUUAAUUAAGGUAAUACAAGGUAUUUUUAAGUAGGCAACGCUCACUGCUAUGAUGCAAACAGCAGUUGUGCUAGAAUAGUGUUUAACAUGUAUUUUGACCUUUCAAGUGAACGACGAAGAAAACCAGUGAAACCAACACCACCAAUUUGAUUCAAACUGCUGCAGUCUUCACUCACACCUUAGUUAGAGAAAACUCCAGUAACCUUUGGCAAACCUGAAGCAUUCAGUCAAGAUUAGCAAGGCAAAAAAAAAAAAAAAAAAAUGACUCACCUUGUUCUCUUCUGUCUACUCAAAUUUGAAAGAAUCUGGGCUGCUUGUUGUUAUGAAACCCAAUCUUGUGUGGAUUCCAAGCUGAUGAGCACGAGCGCCUGAAAAUAUCAGAAAACUGUGGUUUAGCAAGAGAAAUAGAGAGUGAGUGGAGGAGCCAUCCUGUUGAUUUUGGAAGGAGUGGCAAAAGUUCCACUGACUUCAGCUGGGUACGAGCCAGGCCCACCGGGCAUAAAAUUCCACUUGGCAUCUCUUCCAUCUUCCACACACAAUACUGACAGGGGUCCUACAGACAAAAUCUAAUUGAUUGUGGCACUCAGACAUCACCCCAAAAUUGUUCCUUUGUGGCAGAGUUUAUCCCCGUGUAAAGAUUCAGCAUGAAUAGGACUAUGAGAGACUUGGAUGCUGCAUAAACCUUGUUUUGUUCCUCCGCAUAAUGGAAUUCCACCCUUGGAGAGUAAGCAAGGAAGUCUGCUUCUAAAUGGUUCGUUUUCUAUUACAACACAUGAUGGAUGCGUGUUUUCAAAGUAUUUUAAAGGCAUGUGUGCAUUAUACUAAAGAAAGGUGUUAGUUUGAUGGUGCUGGAAAAUGAAACCUUGGAUUUAGCCAGAGAUAAGAAACAGCCCUUUAGUAUUUUCAUAAAAUCUUUGGUCGAAACAUAGAUGCAGCAGGAUCCUAUGGCUUCAUCAGCCCCCUGCACCACAAUUUUUCCUAACAGCCUUUCACAGAGUUUAAUACAGAAGAGGAAGAUCAACUGGAUGUGAAUAUCGAGCUCCAUGUGCUGAGAAAGGGUAAGUGCUGAGACAGUGCUAUCCUUGUCGUAUUAUCGCAGCAUCCACAGACUGAGAAAAUGAGGGCUUCUAGAAGGUAAUUCACCUGAGGAAUUUGACCUUUAUCUUGUUAUUAUGCUAAAAUAUGGCUUCACCAUACAUAAAGUGGACUAGGACAAUUGGCAUACCUAUUGAUAAUGAGACAUCAUGAUGUUGAAACACUUGAAUGUUGUAGAUUAUUAUUCUCCUCUUCGUUUCACACAUAUACACACCUGUUCAGAAUGAAAAUUGGCUAGCUAUACAUUUACUAAAUUUCUCCAAUAACACAGAAGUUUUGUAGAAUAAAGCAACGAGUUCCAGUGGCAACAUAUGUGCUCAGCUCCUGCUAUGAGAUCGAAAGCAGACAAUCCCUACAGACCCCAGCGUGGGGAUGACAGCCUGACAAAAUCACACCCCGUACUUACUUUCGUGUCACUGUAAAAGCUCUGAGUAAAGCUGGAGAAUAAAAGAGAUGAAACCAUUUUAAGUAAGCAUUGGUAUGCUAACAAAAGCAGCACUGAGGUUUCACCAGCUGGGUCUUGUCUUGGGAAGAUGCUGAAUGGUCUUAACAGGGAAGGUAGCAACCACACAAUUUUCUUGGUGUCACAGAUGAGCCAAAAUGCAACAAUACCCUUGGAGAAAGUACAUUAUUAUUCACAGUAAUGGGAAAAUGCCCCAAAGUGUCUGGGUCGUUUCAUUAAACCACUGCAGUCAAUUACAUAAAAACUACUUUGGGGGAAGGAUUCUAUACCUAUUACUGGACUUAAACCGUAAAGGAGUGUGGAUGUGAAUGAAUUAUUUUUUCCUUUGUAUAAAAGCGCUACUGAGGUUGUGUUCAGCAUAAGGAGAAAUUUUGAAACAAGAUAAAUAAUAAAAUAAUCCAACGGGAAAAACAAUAGGAGCAACAACCAUCAGAGAGUGAGCAGAGUGAAAAACCAAUGCAGAGAAAAGAUAAAAAGAGAAGCAAAGGUGGUGAAGAAAAAAAUAUCCAAAGUGCCCCACGUUCCUAUCUGAAUGUGCCUUGGAGGAUAAGG